rnacentral:rRNA from 1 species
GCCUACGGGACGCAGCAGUGGGGAAUAUUGCACAAUGGGGGGAACCCUGAUGCAGCGACGCCGCGUGGGUGAAGAAGCGCCUCCGCGCGUAAAGCCCUGUCAGCAGGGAAGAAAAUGACGGUACCUGAAGAAGAAGCCCCGGCUAACUACGUGCCAGCAGCCGCGGUAAUACGUAGGGGGCAAGCGUUAUCCGGAUUUACUGGGUGUAAAGGGGGCGCAGACGGCGAUGCAAGCCAGGAGUGAAAGCCCGUGGCCCAACCCCGGGCCUGCUCUUGGAACUGCGUGGCUGGGGUGCAGGGGGGGCG